AUUGAACGCUGGCGGCAUGCCUUACACAUGCAAGUCGAACGGCAGCACGGGAGCAAUCCUGGUGGCGAGUGGCGAACGGGUGAGUAAUAUAUCGGAACGUGCCCAGUCGUGGGGAUAACGUAGCGAAAGCUACGCUAAUACCGCAUACGAUCUAUGGAUGAAAGCGGGGGAUCGCAAGACCUCGCGCGAUUGGAGCGGCCGAUAUCAGAUUAGGUAGUUGGUGAGGUAAAGGGCUCACCAAGCCGACGAUCUGUAGCUGGUCUGAGAGGACGACCAGCCACACUGGGACUGAGACACGGCCCAGACUCCUACGGGAGGCAGCAGUGGGGAAUUUUGGACAAUGGGCGCAAGCCUGAUCCAGCAAUGCCGCGUGCAGGAUGAAGGCCUCGGUUGUAACGUAGCUUUUGUUACGGGUAACGAAAC
rnacentral:rRNA from 1 species